UCCGUAGGUGAACCUGCGGAGGGAUCAUUACACAACAAAAUAUGAAGGCCUGGCUUCGCGGCCGGCUGAAAUAUUUUUUUCACCCAUGUCUUUUGCGCACUUGUUGUUUCCUGGGCGGGUUCGCCCGCCACCAGGACCAAACCAUAAACCUUUUUUUUAUGCAGUUGCAAUCAGCGUCAGUAAAAACAAUGUAAUUAUUACAACUUUCAACAACGGAUCUCUUGGUUCUGGCAUCGAUGAAGAACGCAGCGAAAUGCGAUACGUAGUGUGAAUUGCAGAAUUCAGUGAAUCAUCGAAUCUUUGAACGCACAUUGCGCCCUUUGGUAUUCCAAAGGGCAUGCCUGUUUGAGCGUCAUUUGUACCUUCAAGCUUUGCUUGGUGUUGGGCGUUUUUUGUCUCCCUCUUUCUGGGAGACUCGCCUUAAAACGAUUGGCAGCCGGCCUACUGGUUUCGGAGCGCAGCACAUAUUUUGCGCUUUGUAUCAGGAGAAAAGGACGGUAAUCCAUCAAGACUCUACAUUUUUAACUUUUGACCUCGGAUCAGGUAGGGAUACCCGCUGAACUUAAGCAUAUCAAUAAGCGGAGGA
rnacentral:rRNA from 1 species